UGAGGAAUUUUGCGCAAUGGGGGAAACCCUGACGCAGCAACGCCGCGUGAGUGAUGAAGGCCUUCGGGUCGUAAACCUCUGUCUAGAGGGAAGAAACCAUUGAGGUCGAACAGGCCUCUUUGCUGACGGUACCUCUGAAGGAAGCACCGGCUAACUCCGUGCCAGCAGCCGCGGUAAUACGGAGGGUGCGAGCGUUAAUCGGAAUCAAUGGGCGUAAAGCGCACGUAGGCGGUGUCGUAAGUCGGAUGUGAAAGCCCUCGGCUCAACCGGGGAACUGCAUUCGAUACUGCGACGCUUGAGUGCCGGAGAGGGUGGCGGAAUUCCAGGUGUAGGAGUGAAAUCCGUAGAUAUCUGGAGGAACACCAGUGGCGAAGGCGGCCAACUGGCCGGCAACUGACGCUGAGGUGCGAAAGAGUGGGGAUCAAACA
rnacentral:rRNA from 1 species